AGGUGUUCAUCACCCAGGACCGGGACUGCACAGCCAAGGAGCGCAGAGCCAGCGCACAAGCAGGGCUGGGGAGGAGCAGCGCUGUCAGCUGGGGACAUGGCCCUCCAGGGCAGGAAAUGGGGACGGGAGGGGGAGGGGAGGCGUUUGGCCACACCGGGGUAGAAUCAACUAGCCAGGAUGACUAAUGACGUGAGAGAGGGAGGAGGGUUCCAGAACAACUCAGGUUCUUGCAUCCCUUGACUAGAUACACAGUGUAGAUAAGGAGGAGCAGCUGGGUUUGUGUGUGUGUG